UCCCGGCGGUCCAAGUUGCAGCCACAUUUAUUGGGUCUAAAACAUCCGUAGCUUGUUCUGUAAGUCUCCUGUGAAAUCUGGCAUCUUAAGUGUCAGGCGUGCAGGAGAUACUGCAGAACUUGAGACUGGGGGGCAUAAAGAGUAUGAUCAAGGUAGUGGUAAAAUACGUUAAUCUUGAUCAGACUAACAAUUUAGCGAAGGCACUUUAUGAUAACAGUUCUGACAGUGAGGGAUGAAGGCUAGGGGCGCGAAA
rnacentral:rRNA from 1 species